rnacentral:misc_RNA from 1 species
UGAAAACCCAACAAGAUUUAAUCCAGGUUUUAACAACCAUAAUAUGGGUAACUUCAGGUCAUCACUCAGCUGUGAACUUUGGCCAGUAUGUUUUUGCUGGGUACUUUCCCAAUAGGCCAACAAUCGCUAGAACCAAUAUGCCAACAGAGGAGCCAACAGAGGCAGAGUUUGAACUCUUCUUGAAGAAACCAGAACUUACAUUGUUAAAAUGCUUCCCUUCACAGCAGCAAGCAACUAAAGUGAUGGCCAUUUUGGAUGUUCUAUCUAACCAUUCACCUGAUGAGGAAUACAUUGGAGACACAUUGGAACCAUCCUGGGAAGCAGAUCCUGUCAUUAAAACUGCUUAUGAAAGAUUCAGUGCAAGGCUUAAGGAGCUUGAAGCUACUAUUGAUGAGAGGAACAAUGAUUUGAAGAACACAAAUAGAGCUGGAGCCGGUGUUGUUCCUUAUGAACUCUUGAAGCCAUUAUCUGAACCUG